UACGAAGGGGGCUAGCGUUGCUCGGAAUCACUGGGCGUAAAGGGUGCGUAGGCGGGUCUUUAAGUCAGGGGUGAAAUCCUGGAGCUCAACUCCAGAACUGCCUUUGAUACUGAUGAUCUUGAGUUCGGGAGAGGUGAGUGGAACUGCGAGUGUAGAGGUGAAAUUCGUAGAUAUCGGGAGGAACACCGGUGGCGAAGGCGGCGACCUGGGUAGAUACUGACGCUGAGGUGCGAAAGCGUGGGGAGCAAACAGG
rnacentral:rRNA from 1 species